GAAUAGCAUCUUGACUGGAGAGAGAGCCACCAUACCGGAGGAACAGAGGAGGAGACGGCGAGGCUGCAGAGCGGGGAUUAAACGGAGGAUGAUGAAGAGGAGGUGUGGGAGAGAAACAGGAUUUGGGGGUAAUAAAAUAGAUGUGCCCCUGGUCAAAAGGUUGAGUUUAUGAUAGGAAGAGCCAGGGGGAAGUCACACAUCAAAGGACCAUUUGGUGAGAGAGACCUGGAUUUACAGGGGUAACAUUUGCAAGACACACAGGGGUUUUCAUUGUUUGUGAUGUAAUGAGAUGCACUGAAAUGUAUAUAAGGGACAGCAUUUUGGAAGUCGGGAGAGAACAUCCACGACGUGACCUUCUCUCCAUGCAGCAUGAAUUAAAUUGACUUGAUUAUCA